rnacentral:piRNA from 2 species
UGAAGUUAUCUUCAACUACUUCAUCUUCAUC